GGGUUGUGAGGUUAAGCGACUAAGCGUACACGGUGGAUGCCCUGGCAGUCAGAGGCGAUGAAGGACGUGCUAAUCUGCGAUAAGCGUCGGUGAGGUGAUAUGAACCGUUAUAACCGGCGAUUUCCGAAUGGGGAAACCCAGUGUGUUUCGACACACUAUCAUUAACUGAAUCCAUAGGUUAAUGAGGCGAACCGGGGGAACUGAAACAUCUAAGUACCCCGAGGAAAAGAAAUCAACCGAGAUUCCCCCAGUAGCGGCGAGCGAACGGGGAGGAGCCCAGAGCCUGAAUCAGUGUGUGUGUUAGUGGAAGCGUCUGGAAAGGCGCGCGAUACAGGGUGACAGCCCCGUACACAAAAAUGCACAUAUUGUGAGCUCGAUGAGUAGGGCGGGACACGUGGUAUCCUGUCUGAAUAUGGGGGGACCAUCCUCCAAGGCUAAAUACUCCUGACUGACCGAUAGUGAACCAGUACCGUGAGGGAAAGGCGAAAAGAACCCCGGCGAGGGGAGUGAAAAAGAACCUGAAACCGUGUACGUACAAGCAGUGGGAGCCUCUUAAUGGGGUGACUGCGUACCUUUUGUAUAAUGGGUCAGCGACUUAUAUUCUGUAGCAAGGUUAACCGAAUAGGGGAGCCGAAGGGAAACCGAGUCUUAACUGGGCGUUAAGUUGCAGGGUAUAGACCCGAAACCCGGUGAUCUAGCCAUGGGCAGGUUGAAGGUUGGGUAACACUAACUGGAGGACCGAACCGACUAAUGUUGAAAAAUUAGCGGAUGACUUGUGGCUGGGGGUGAAAGGCCAAUCAAACCGGGAGAUAGCUGGUUCUCCCCGAAAGCUAUUUAGGUAGCGCCUCGUGAAUUCAUCUCCGGGGGUAGAGCACUGUUUCGGCAAGGGGGUCAUCCCGACUUACCAACCCGAUGCAAACUGCGAAUACCGGAGAAUGUUAUCACGGGAGACACACGGCGGGUGCUAACGUCCGUCGUGAAGAGGGAAACAACCCAGACCGCCAGCUAAGGUCCCAAAGUCAUGGUUAAGUGGGAAACGAUGUGGGAAGGCCCAGACAGCCAGGAUGUUGGCUUAGAAGCAGCCAUCAUUUAAAGAAAGCGUAAUAGCUCACUGGUCGAGUCGGCCUGCGCGGAAGAUGUAACGGGGCUAAACCAUGCACCGAAGCUGCGGCAGCGACACUAUGUGUUGUUGGGUAGGGGAGCGUUCUGUAAGCCUGUGAAGGUGUACUGUGAGGUAUGCUGGAGGUAUCAGAAGUGCGAAUGCUGACAUAAGUAACGAUAAAGCGGGUGAAAAGCCCGCUCGCCGGAAGACCAAGGGUUCCUGUCCAACGUUAAUCGGGGCAGGGUGAGUCGACCCCUAAGGCGAGGCCGAAAGGCGUAGUCGAUGGGAAACAGGUUAAUAUUCCUGUACUUGGUGUUACUGCGAAGGGGGGACGGAGAAGGCUAUGUUGGCCGGGCGACGGUUGUCCCGGUUUAAGCGUGUAGGCUGGUUUUCCAGGCAAAUCCGGAAAAUCAAGGCUGAGGCGUGAUGACGAGGCACUACGGUGCUGAAGCGACAAAUGCCCUGCUUCCAGGAAAAGCCUCUAAGCAUCAGGUAACAUCAAAUCGUACCCCAAACCGACACAGGUGGUCAGGUAGAGAAUACCAAGGCGCUUGAGAGAACUCGGGUGAAGGAACUAGGCAAAAUGGUGCCGUAACUUCGGGAGAAGGCACGCUGAUAUGUAGGUGAAGCGACUUGCUCGUGGAGCUGAAAUCAGUCGAAGAUACCAGCUGGCUGCAACUGUUUAUUAAAAACACAGCACUGUGCAAACACGAAAGUGGACGUAUACGGUGUGACGCCUGC
rnacentral:rRNA from 1 species